rnacentral:lncRNA from 1 species
AUGCUCUUGGCUGAGUCAGGUCUUUGGACUAUUUUGACUUCCUGUUCUCCUACAUGUAUUUCUGUGUGUCCAUUCCACAGGUUUGGGUCCUGUGGUGGUGUCUCUGGAUUUCCUUGGGACCAUUUUUCUCCUGAUGGGAAUCAGGUGAUGGCAGGACAGAGAUUCCUGAAGAACCUCCCUUUGAAGGGAAAGGUGACCUCUUUUCAGCAACAUAUUAGUGGGUGUUGUGUGGACAGCUGCUGUGACUGCAAGGCAAGUUCCUUUAUUUAAGGAGGAGAAUUCAUACUUACCACUAGGGAAAAUUUUAAAUGCACAAGAAGUGUCUCAUGUAGUACAAAAUACUACUGUGCUGUUUCCUGCGGCAUAUGCUUAGAUAGGAUUUUUCUCUAAAGAAAGCAAGGGGGGGAACAUUGCAUGCCAGAUGUCUUCUUAAAUGUACUUGCUAAACAAGGUCAUUUUAAUUUGUCUGGGUUCAAAACAAUUUCCCUUAAUGGAUCAGGGAUUGUUAUUUCACUGACACCCUAUAAAGGGUGCAGCUCUUAAAAUCAACAGAUGAAUUUUUUAGUGAAAUUCUGAAUGGAAAUUGUCUUCUCAAAGCAAGUCAAAUGAUAUAAAGCAUUGACUGCUGGCCUCUGCUGAGACCAGGGAUGUAGGAGAACAGUGGUUUUACCUCUGUCUCUUGCAUUAUUUUGGCAAGAGUGAAAUAGUGAACGUGGUUCUGCUUUCCACAUCUCGGAAAGGAUGUUGCAAAACUGGAAAGGAUGCCGGAAAGAGCCAUAGUAAUGAUAUGAGGACAGGAAAAUGUGCCUUAUGGUUUGAGAUUUAUGGAGCUCAAUCUGUUUAGCUUAUCAGAAAGAUUUCAGCUUUAAAUGGAUCACAGGGUUUACAUACUUUCAUGUAGAAUAAAUAGUAGGUAUAAAGGUACUAUUCCA